rnacentral:rRNA from 1 species
AUGGGGUUCAUCGGCGACCAGGUGGAGUCGAUCCGGUCGAUGCAGGUCCGCCAGGUCGUCACGCAGAUCAUCAGCCUCGGUAUGAUUGUUACCUCGGCACUGAUCAUAUGGAAGGGAUUGAUGGUCGCGACAGGGAGCGAAUCGCCAAUUGUGGUGGUUCUUUCUGGUAGCAUGGAGCCUGGAUUUAAAAGGGGUGAUAUUCUGUUUUUGCACAUGAGCAAAGAACCUAUCCGCACUGGAGAAAUAGUUGUUUUUAAUAUUGAUGGCCGUGAAAUUCCAAUUGUUCACCGUGUGAUCAAGGUUCAUGAACGGCAAGAAAGUGGAGAAGUUGAUAUCCUCACAAAAGGCGAUAAUAAUUUUGGGGAUGACCGACUUCUGUAUGCACAAGGGCAGCUUUGGCUUCAGAAGCAUCACAUUAUGGGGCGGGCUGUAGGCUAUCUACCAUAUGUUGGGUGGGUUACGAUUGUGAUGACUGAGAAGCCCAUCAUUAAGUACCUUCUGAUUGGCGCGCUGGGCCUGCUUGUCAUAACAUCGAAAGAGUGA